CCUACGGGUGGCAGCAGUAGGGAAUAUUGCUCAAUGGGGGAAACCCUGAAGCAGCAACGCCGCGUGGAGGAUGAAGGUUUUCGGAUUGUAAACUCCUUUUGUUAGAGAAGAUAAUGACGGUAUCUAACGAAUAAGCACCGGCUAACUCCGUGCCAGCAGCCGCGGUAAUACGGAGGGUGCAAGCGUUCGUCGCUAUCACUGGUCGUAAAGAGCGCGUAGGCGGGAUAGCAAGUCUGAUGUGAAAUCCUAUGGCUUAACCAUAGAACUGCAUUUGAAACUGUUAGUCUAGAGUCUGGGAGAGGUAGGUGGAAUUCUUGGUGUAGGGGUGAAAUGCGUAGAGAUCAGGAGGAAUACUCGUGGCGAAGGCGACCUGCUAGAACAUAACUGACGCUGAUGCGCGAAAGCGUGGGGAGCAAACAGGAUUAGAUACCCGGGUAGUC
rnacentral:rRNA from 1 species